CAAACUUCUUGUCGGCCCUCCCCCCAGGCCAAGAAUGAGGAAGUAGGUGAUGGUCGUGCAAUGUGACGUCAUCGCGCCAACCAUGGGGGCCGCCAUCUUUAAUUUUACCGGAGCGGAACAAACAGUUUCCAUACAAACCCCUAAUAAUUUUCAAGGCUUUUAAGAGAUAUUAAUUGGCUGGGGCCAUCCUUAAAACUAACUACUUCUGAGAUAAGUCCUUUAUUUCAGAUAUUACAAGGAAAUCCUUCUCCAACCUCUCCACGUCAGCUAACCUUAAAAGCUAAAACAGCUUUAAAGAGAGUUGAACAUACAAUUAAAAAUGCACAGCUUACUAGAGUUGAUCCUAAAGAAAUAGUGUAUUUAUUAAUAUUUCCAACUGAGCAUACCCCAACAGGAGCCAUAUGGCAAAGAUUAGGAGUUAUUGAGUGGAUUUAUUUAUCCUACUCCCCUCAAAAAACAUUAAUUCCUUUUCAUGAUUCCAUAGCUCAAUUAGUAAUUAAAGGCAGAACUAGGAUUUUACAAUUAAUUGGAUCUGAGCCUGAUAUCAUAAUUAUUCCAUUUUCUGUUCAACAGACUAAUUGGCUUUUUCAAACUUCUAGCUUAUGGCAGAUAGCUUUUGCUGAUUUUCCUGGACAGAUAGAUAGCCAUUACCCUCAUGAUAAGAUUAUCCAAUUUGCAUCAUUAACAUCACUUAUUUUUCCAAAGAUUGUACGUGCACAUCCUAUAGAUGAAGCUUUAUCAGUGUUCACUGAUUUUUCAAGCUCAGGUAAAGCAGGUUUUUAUAGUUGUGUUCACACAGAGGUAAUGCAAACUUGUUAUACUUCUGCCCAAAGAACAGAGCUUCAAGCUCUGAUUUGUGCCUUAAAUUACUUUUCAAAUGAGCCUAUUAAUAUUUAUUCUGACAGCUUAUAUGCAGUCGGAGUUACCAAAAAUAUUGAAACUUCAGUUAUUGGGUAUACUUCAUCACAAGAGUUAUUUAAAUUAUUUCAUAAUUUACCGAAGGCAGUGCUAAUGCGAAAAUACCCAUGUUUCAUAGGACACAUAUGAGCUCAUACUAAUCUUCCAGGACCUUUAGUUUCAGGUAAUGACAAAAUUGAUAAAUUAGUAAAUUUGUCAACAGAUGUCUUCAUAUAACUGUCAACAAGUUUCCCAUUCCUUGCAUCAUCAAAAUGCUUCUAGCUUACGUAAAAAAUUUAAUAUUACCAGAAAACAAGCUCGUCAAAUUGUAAGCCAAUGCCCUAAGUGUGUUAUUCACACUCCAUCUCCACCAUCAGGGGUAAAUCCCCGUGGAUUAAAACCAAAUCAAAUAUGGCAAAUGGAUGUAACUCAUAUUCCUCAAUUUGGUAAACAAUGUUAUGUGCAUGUCAUAGUGGACACUUAUUCCAGAUUUAUUUUUGCCACAGCACGUACUAAGGAAAAUACUCAACAUGUAAUUUCUCAUUGCCUAGCAGCUUUUUCUGUGUUAGGGUGCCCUAUGCAGAUUAAAACAGAUAAUGCUCCAGCUUACAUAAGCUCUUCUUUUCAACAAUUUUGCCAAGAGUUUCAAAUUAAUCAUAAAACAGGAAUUCCUUAUAACCCCCAAGGUCAAACCAUUGUGGAACGAGCUCAUUUAUCUAUUAAGCUUCAAUUACAAAAGUUAAAGGGGGGAAUAGGAUUAUGACUCCCCAAAAUAGCCCCAAUCAUGCUUUGUUCAUUUUAAAUUUUUUAAACUGUGACACAGAAGGUCACACUGCUGCUGAGAGGCAAAUGUCUCCCUCAGUAACAGGCCCUUUAGGCAGAGUUUUGUGAAAAGAUUUACAGACCAGUCAAUGGAAAGGCCCAGACCCAGUGCUUAUGUGGGGCAGAGGUCAUGCUUGUAUCUUUCCAGAAAGUGCUUUUCGUCCUAUUUGGGUGCCUGAACGCGCGAUCAGACAUGGAAGAGAUAGAACCCAGAUUCAAGUGACUGAAGAUAGACCCGGAGGAGCCCCUAUCCAAAAGGAAGAGAUAUUGGAAAAAGAUGAAGAAAGACCAGAUUGACCCAGCCGAAAAUCUGAUUUCAUGGGAAGACGUGAAGAAGCUAACAACACAGGCUUCCCGAAUACUUCGACUCCUAGGAAAGAACAGGACCCCAGUGAUGAUGGUAGCAACAGUAAUUGCCCUGCUGGGCUGUCAGGAUGGCGAGUCUUCGGAACAUGAAUACAGAAACUCCCAAGAGUGAACCACUGCCUCUUUUUUAAGAAAAGAAAAGGGGGAAUAUGUGGGGAGCCAUUCUCACAUGUGACUGGGCAACUCCCGGUUUGGGUCUGAGGCACUCUGGCUAAACUAUGUCGGAGCUUUCCCGACCCUCUCCUGGUGCAAGAGCCUGUCCAUGUGGGGGUGUAACUUGACCACUGACCCUGGGGCCAAUCACUGACCCUGACCUUGGAGUGCUGCCCCCCUCAACCUUCAUUGGAUGGAAUUCUCCCCUGAAUUUCUUGUUCCCCAAUAAAAGGCUACUCCCUGGCA